rnacentral:rRNA from 1 species
AUGUUGGAGCCGGAGGAAGAGGAGGAUGUGGAGGAUGCGGAGGGGGAUUUCCGGCAGAAGGGGAAGGUGUUCGUCGGGAACCUGCCGCUGCGGGCGAGGAAGGCGGAGGUGGCCGACUUCUUCCGCCAGUUCGGGCCGCUCGACAAGGUGGAGUUCGUGCGCACCCACGACGACCCCGAGCGCAACGCCGGCUUCUGCUUCCUCUACUACGCGGACGCGGACGCGGACGCCGAGGGCCAGGGCGCCGAGGCCGCCGCGGAGCGCGCGGCGGAGGUCGACGGGGUGGACUUCCGGGGCAGGUCGCUCACGGUGCGGCUCGACGACGGGAGGAAGGGGCGGGCCAGGGCGGAGGACCGGGCGCGCUGGGUGGACCACGGCCGAGGGAAGGAGGCGCCGUCGCCCUGGCACCACGGCAGGGACGAGGCCUGCCGCGAGUUCCGCAGGGUGGUGGAGUCGCGGCCUGAGGACUGGCAGGCCGUCGUCUCCGCCUUCGAGAGGAUCCCCAAGGUGGGUGGUUUCUCUUACCACCUCAGCCCUGUUAUCUGCUACUCCUAG